rnacentral:rRNA from 1 species
AUUGAACGCUGGCGGCAGGCCUAACACAUGCAAGUCGAACGAGUGGCGGACGGGUGUGUAAUGUCUGGGACAUUGCCUGAUGGAGGGGGAUAAACUCUGGAAACGGUAGUUAUUCCCCCAUACCAUAACGUUGGCCCAGAUGGAAUUGGCUAGUUGGCGGGGUAACGGCUCACCAAGGCGACGAUCCCUAGCUGUGCUGAGAGGAUGACCGGCCACACUGGAACGGAGACACGGUCCAGACUCCUACGGGAGGCAGCAGUGGGGAAUAUUGCACAAUGGGCGAAAGCCUGAUGCAGCCAUGCCGCGUGAAUGAAGAAGGUCUUCGGGUUGUAAAGUACUUUUGUUAGGGAAGCGGUACCUAAAGAAUAAGCAUCGGCUAACUACGUGCCAGCAGCCGCGGUAAUAC